GACGAACGCUGGCGGCGUGCUUAACACAUGCAAGUCGAACGGAAAGGCCCCUUUGGGGGUACUCGAGUGGCGAACGGGUGAGUAACACGUGAGUAACCUGCCCUUGACUUCGGGAUAACUUCAGGAAACUGGGGCUAAUACCGGAUAGGAAUCCUUGCUGCAUGGUGGGGGUUGGAAAGCUUCGGCGGUUUUGGAUGGACUCACGGCUUAUCAGCUUGUUGGUGGGGUAGUGGCUUACCAAGGCUUUGACGGGUAGCCGGCCUGAGAGGGCGACCGGCCACAUUGGGACUGAGAUACGGCCCAGACUCCUACGGGAGGCAGCAGUGGGGAAUAUUGCACAAGGGGCGGAAGCCUGAUGCAGCAACGCCGCGUGCGGGAUGACGGCCUUCGGGUUGUAAACCGCUUUCAGCAGGGGCGAAGCUUGUGGUGACGGUACCUGCAGAAGAAGCACCGGCUAACUACGUG
rnacentral:rRNA from 1 species